rnacentral:rRNA from 1 species
AACGAACGCUGGCGGCAGGCCUAACACAUGCAAGUCGAACGGGUGUAGCAAUACAUCAGUGGCAGACGGGUGAGUAACGCGUGGGAAUCUCCCCAGAGGUACGGAACAACUCAGGGAAACUUGAGCUAAUACCGUAUGUGCCCGAGAGGGCAAAGAUUCAUCGCCUUUGGAUGAGCCCGCGUUGGAUUAGCUAGUUGGUGGGGUAACGGCCUACCAAGGCUACGAUCCANAGCUGAUCUGAGAGGAUGAUCAGCCACACUGGGACUGAGACACGGCCCAGACUCCUACGGGAGGCAGCAGUGGGGAAUCUUGGACAAUGGGCGCAAGCCUGAUCCAGCCAUGCCGCGUGUGUGAAGAAGGCCUGCGGGUUGUAAAGCACUUUCAGUAGGGAAGGAAAAGACCGAGUGCUAAUAUCACUCGGUC